rnacentral:tRNA from 1 species
GACCCUUUAGCUCAGUUGGUAGAGCAUGGUGUUUGCAACAUCAGGGUUGUGGGUUUGAUUCCCACGGGGGGCC